GGGGGUUUGAGAUUGAUUUGAUUAACAAACUACUAAAAGCAAUUAAAAUAAGCGAAUAAUAAAAUAAAAGAGAAAUAAAUAAUAAGAAAGCUCUAGUUGAAGUAUUGGAUCCACUUUAGUUGUUGGGAUUGAUCACAGACACUUUGUUCUUUUGGGUUGAUUCAAUAGAUUAGUUAUGGAGAUGGAAGACGCUUCUCACCACCAUUAUCUCUCCUUAUGAUUAAACCAAUUAGGGAACGUCCUCUAAUUAAUUACUAAUUAACAAAUUGCCAAGGAACGUCCUUGGGUCUUAGGCAUCAAAACAAUUGUCAAUUGCAUUAAGAAAUAGAGAGAUCCAAUCCUAGCU
rnacentral:lncRNA from 1 species